AAAGUUCCCUUCGGGGGGCAAGUAGAGUGGCGCACGGGUGAGUAACACGUAGGUAAUCUACCUUUGGAUUGGGAAUAACAACCGGAAACGGUUGCUAAUACCGAAUAAUGCAGCGGCACCUAAUGGUGACAGUUGUUAAAGCGGGGGAUCGCAAGACCUCGCGUCUGAAGAGGAGCCUGCGGCAGAUUAGCUAGUUGGUAAGGUAACGGCUUACCAAGGCGAUGAUCUGUAGCCGGCCUGAGAGGGCGGUCGGCCACACUGACACUGACAUACGGGUCAGACUCCUACGGGAGGCAGCAGUCGGGAAUUUUGGGCAAUGGGCGAAAGCCUGACCCAGCAACGCCGCGUGAAGGAUGAAAUCCCUCGGGAUGUAAACUUCGCAAGAACGGGAAGAAUAAGUAAGAGUUAAUAUCUCUUAUGAUGACGGUACUGUUUGUAAGCUCCGGCUAACUCCGUGCCAGCAGCCGCGGUAAUACGGGGGGAGCAAGCGUUGUUCGGAUUUACUGGGCGUAAAGGGCGCGUAGGCGGCCACCGCAAGUCGACUGUGAAAUCUCCGGGCUUAACCCGGAAAGGUCAGCCGAUACUGCGGGGCUAGAGUGCAGAAGGGGCAACUGGAAUUCUCGGUGUAGCGGUGAAAUGCGUAGAUAUCGAGAGGAACACCUGCGGCGAAGGCGGGUUGCUGGGCUGACACUGACGCUGAGGCGCGAAAGCUAGGGGAGCGAACGGGAUUAGAUACCCCGGUAGUCCUAGCCUUAAACGAUGAAUGCUUGGUGUCUGGGGUUUUAUAGUCCCCGGGUGCCGUCGCUAACGCUUUAAGCAUUCCGCCUGGGGAGUACGGUCGCAAGACUGAAACUC
rnacentral:rRNA from 1 species